ACUCCUACGGGAGGCAGCAGUGGGGAAUUUUCCUCAAUGGGCGAAAGCCUGAACCAGCAAUACCGCGUGAGGGAUGACAGUCUGCGGAUUGUAAACCUCUUUUCUCAGGGACGAAGUUCUGAUGACACUUGCUGAAUAAGAAUCGGCUAAUUCUGUGCCAGCAGCCGCGGUAAUAC
rnacentral:rRNA from 1 species